rnacentral:rRNA from 1 species
UGGGGAAUUUUGCACAAUAGGGGAAACCCUGAUGCAGCGACGCCGCGUGAUUUAGAAGGCCUUCGGGUUGUAAAAAUCUUUUUUACGGGAUGAAAAUGACAGUACCGUAAGAAUAAGGUCCGGCUAAAUACGUGCCAGCAGCCGCGGUAAUACGUAUGGACCGAGCGUUGUCCGGAAUCAUUGGGCGUAAAGGGUACGUAGGCGGCCUAGUAAGUUAGAAGUGAAAUAAUAUAUCUCAACUAUAUAAAGCUUUUAAAACUGCUAGGCUUGAGAGAUGGAAGGGAAAGUGGAAUUCCUAGUGUAGCGGUGAAAUGCGCAGAUAUUAGGAAGAAUACCGGUGGCGAAGGCGACUUUCUGGUCAUCAUCUGACGCUGAGGUACGAAAGCGUGGGUAGCAAACAGG